rnacentral:rRNA from 1 species
AUUGAACGCUGGCGGCAGGCCUAACACAUGCAAGUCGAGCGGAUGAAGGGAGCUUGCUCCUGGAUUCAGCGGCGGACGGGUGAGUAAUUCCUAGGAAUCUGCCUGGUAGUGUGGGAUAACGUCCGGAAACGGGCGCUAAUACCGCAUACGUCCUGAGGGAGAAAGUGGGGGAUCUUCGGACCUCACGCUAUCAGAUGAGCCUAGGUCGGAUUAGCUAGUUGGUGGGGUAAAGGCCUACCAAGGCGACGAUCCGUAACUGGUCUGAGAGGAUGAUCAGUCACACUGGAACUGAGACACGGUCCAGACUCCUACGGGAGGCAGCAGUGGGGAAUAUUGGACAAUGGGCGAAAGCCUGAUCCAGCCAUGCCGCGUGUGUGAAGAAGGUCUUCGGAUUGUAAAGCACUUUAAGUUGGGAGGAAGGGCAGUAAGUUAAUACCUCGCUGUUUUGACGGUACCAAAAGAAUAAGCACCGGCUAACUUCGUG